rnacentral:rRNA from 1 species
UACGUAGGGGGCAAGCGUUGUCCGGAAUCAUUGGGCGUAAAGAGCGUGUAGGCGGUCCGGUCAGUCGGUUGUGAAAGUCAAGGGCUCAACCCUUGAAAGCCGGUUGAUACUGUCGGGCUAGAGUCCGGAAGAGGCGAGUGGAAUUCCCGGUGUAGCGGUGAAAUGCGCAGAUAUCGGGAGGAACACCAAUGGCGAAGGCAGCUCGCUGGGACGGUACUGACGCUGAGGCGCGAAAGCGUGGGGAGCAAACAGG